UUUGAAUCAUGGCUCAGGACGAACGCUGGCGGCGUGCCUAAUACAUGCAAGUCGAACGCUUCUUUUUCCACCGGAGCUUGCUCCACCGGAAAAAGAGGAGUGGCGAACGGGUGAGUAACACGUGGGUAACCUGCCCAUCAGAAGGGGAUAACACUUGGAAACAGGUGCUAAUACCGUAUAACAAUCGAAACCGCAUGGUUUUGAUUUGAAAGGCGCUUUCGGGUGUCGCUGAUGGAUGGACCCGCGGUGCAUUAGCUAGUUGGUGAGGUAACGGCUCACCAAGGCGACGAUGCAUAGCCGACCUGAGAGGGUGAUCGGCCACAUUGGGACUGAGACACGGCCCAAACUCCUACGGGAGGCAGCAGUAGGGAAUCUUCGGCAAUGGACGAAAGUCUGACCGAGCAACGCCGCGUGAGUGAAGAAGGUUUUCGGAUCGUAAAACUCUGUUGUUAGAGAAGAACAAGGAUGAGAGUAACUGUUCAUCCCUUGACGGUAUCUAACCAGAAAGCCACGGCUAACUACGUGCCAGCAGCCGCGGUAAUACGUAGGUGGCAAGCGUUGUCCGGAUUUAUUGGGCGUAAAGCGAGCGCAGGCGGUUUCUUAAGUCUGAUGUGAAAGCCCCCGGCUCAACCGGGGAGGGUCAUUGGAAACUGGGAGACUUGAGUGCAGAAGAGGAGAGUGGAAUUCCAUGUGUAGCGGUGAAAUGCGUAGAUAUAUGGAGGAACACCAGUGGCGAAGGCGGCUCUCUGGUCUGUAACUGACGCUGAGGCUCGAAAGCGUGGGGAGCAAACAGGAUUAGAUACCCUGGUAGUCCACGCCGUAAACGAUGAGUGCUAAGUGUUGGAGGGUUUCCGCCCUUCAGUGCUGCAGCUAACGCAUUAAGCACUCCGCCUGGGGAGUACGACCGCAAGGUUGAAACUCAAAGGAAUUGACGGGGGCCCGCACAAGCGGUGGAGCAUGUGGUUUAAUUCGAAGCAACGCGAAGAACCUUACCAGGUCUUGACAUCCUUUGACCACUCUAGAGAUAGAGCUUCCCCUUCGGGGGCAAAGUGACAGGUGGUGCAUGGUUGUCGUCAGCUCGUGUCGUGAGAUGUUGGGUUAAGUCCCGCAACGAGCGCAACCCUUAUUGUUAGUUGCCAUCAUUUAGUUGGGCACUCUAGCAAGACUGCCGGUGACAAACCGGAGGAAGGUGGGGAUGACGUCAAAUCAUCAUGCCCCUUAUGACCUGGGCUACACACGUGCUACAAUGGGAAGUACAACGAGUCGCAAAGUCGCGAGGCUAAGCUAAUCUCUUAAAGCUUCUCUCAGUUCGGAUUGUAGGCUGCAACUCGCCUACAUGAAGCCGGAAUCGCUAGUAAUCGCGGAUCAGCACGCCGCGGUUGAAUACGUUCCCGGGGCCUU
rnacentral:rRNA from 1 species